rnacentral:lncRNA from 11 species
GAGGUGAGGCAGUGUAUGCUGCUGCCACGGCAAUACACAAGCCUUCCUUUGUUGCCUUCCCUUCAAUGGGGGGGGGGGGGGGAGCCAGAGGAUGACGCUUCCCCCAUGGGAUGAAGAACCCCCAAAGCCCUGCAAAUGUAGGAAGAGGAAGUGGCAAUGCAAUGCUAGAACUUAACAACAACAACAACAACAACAACAACAACAACAUCACAGUUGUGGAAAAGAAAAAGGUUUGGAUCAUUGAUGUUGCCAUCCCAGGUGACAGUCGCAUUGAUGAAAAACAACAGGAAAAACUCAGCCGCUAUCAGUACCUCAAGAUUGAACUUCAAAGACUCUGGCAGAAACCAGUGCAGGUAGUUCCGGUGGUGAUGGGCACAUUGGGUGCUGUGCCAAAAGAUCUCAGCCGGCAUUUGGAAACAAUAGACAUUGACAAAAUUACAAUCUGCCAACUGCAAAAGGCCACCCUACUGGGAUCUGCACGCAUCAUCCGAAAAUACAUCACACAGUCCUAGACACUUGGGAAGUGUUUGAUUUGUGAUUUUGUGAUACGAAAUCCAGCGUAUUUAUCUUGUUUGCUGUGUCAUACAAUAAUAACAACUUUAUUUAUACUCUGUUCCAUCCCUGAAGGACUCGGGGCAGCUUACACUGGGACAAGCCCAAAACAGUAUUACAUCAAUAAAAAUAGUAACACAAUAAAAUCACAAUGUAAUAACACAUCUUACAAAAGUUAAAAUAACUUAAAACAUAGACAGUAAUCCCAAUCUGUAGUCAAGCGUCAUAGGCCAUGGGCCAUUUUAAGGGGAAUGGAAAUCUGAAAAUGCAUAUUCUUCAGUGACUAGGGAUGGGAAUGACUAAAGGGAAUAAAGUGCAUGGAAUGGCCAGGCCUAGGUGAAGCAUGAACAAUCAAUUAUCAGUUAUGAGAAGGCACCUGUGAAUAUCCAAGUUUUCAGAUUCCUCCGGAAGGAGCCUAAGUAUUAAUUACCAUCACCUUAACUACUGCAGCACAGCAAUGAUCAAUAAUAUAUAUAAAGAUGAACCCACCUUUGCAUACAUGAUUGCUAAUUGCUGCGAUGCAAUAGUUAAGGUGAGGAUUUGGAGAAGAUGCAUUCCAAUCUUUACACCAUUAAAAAGUUUCAUACCCUCCAAGGAAGCAUCUAUUCUGUAAAAUUAAUGUAGUUUACACCUCUUCAUUUGCCAUGUCUUAAGGCUAUGGAAUCAUGAUAGUUGUAGUUAGGUAGGUAAAAGGUAAAGGUUUUCCCCUGACGUUAAGUCCAGUCAUGUCUGACUCUGGGGGUUGGUGCUCAUCUCCAUUACUAAGCCAAAGAGCUGGUGUUGUCCGUAGACACCUCCAAGGUCAUGUGGCCGGCAUGACUGCAUGGAGUGCCGUUACCUUCCCACUGGAGUGAUACCUAUUGAUCUACUCACAUUUGCAUGUUUUCGAACUGCUAGGUUGGCAGAAGCUGGGGCUAACAGCGGCUAUAACCUUCUCUUCCAAAAGUGUGCUAUGACCUCAUCACAUUGGCCACCAGAAUUGCCAUGGAACCCAUCUCCCCACACCCCGCAACACCUGACUUACCCCAAACCCAAUCCCACAGGGGCGGGAAGGGGAACACCUGCUAUCUGGCUUCCCCCUGUUGAUCCCUAUAUAACACGGCAAUCCUCCUCCUGUUGCCACCAUAGUGG